CCUUUUUGGUCACUAAAUGUUAAAUAUUGCCAAAGUAUAGAACAAAUGCAUGACACAAGCAUAAAUGCACAUAUUAUGCAUUUGCAUACAUAUAAUUGCAUACAUACUUGUAUGAAUGAGAGUAAUUAAUAGUCAGUUCUCAGUUAUAUAUGUCAUGUUGGAAUGAACUUAAAUAUGCUUAUUUGAAUGUAUGAAAACUCAAUAUAUUUGAUCAUUGGCUAAAUUUAGCUAUUUUUGCUGAUUUAGUUGUCAUACAUCACAAACCUAUAUAGUUCUGGUGUUACAUUAACUAGGGCCAUAGAGCAGAGGCACUUGGCUUAUUUUUUGAUUUCCCUCUCUGAAAUAAACUUAUUCUACGAAACACCUUCAGUAACCUGCUCGCAUACUUUCUGUAGGAAGCAAAAUUCACAAAACCAAUGCAAGCACUCGCUUGUCCAAGUGGGUUUCUCUUCUUGCUCAAUGUUCUUCCCUCCAAACCAUAAGGCCUCAAGCCUGCAGAUUAGUAGAAUUUGGUUCUGAUUUUUUUAGAAUCAGUUCUUUUUUUGUAGAGAUGUUCUGUAUUUGAAGGCUUUUCUUCAAGGACAUGAGUUCUUAUUGAAGACUUUGAAUUCUGAAGCUUGUGGAUUCGUAUUCCUUCCUCGACAACUCAGACCUAUGAAUUGCUGCAUCUUUUUGUAGCAAGAAGCAGAGGGGUCUACUAUUGACUGCUUCGCCUCCGUCUAUAUAUGGACUCUCGCGUAGGUCUGGCUUUUGGAGUUUGCAUAUCUCGAGCUUAAGAGGCUACCGGAGAAUUCCCCACAAUGUGCAUACCUAAAUGAGUCUGAGCAUUCUUUGAAGGCUUUGUGCAUGUUUAGUUGCUAACAAAAAGUGCCUGGACAAUCAGACGUAGUGGCAUCAACUCAUUCUGAACUGCUUCAAUGUACAUCUCUUGUGAUAGUUUUUGGCAGUUGAGGUGGAAUUAAUGGGGAAGGCCAUCCACUCUAGUGUACUGUAAGUAGUAGUCGGGAAGGUCAGUCCUACUUUUGAAAUUGUUUUGCAGAUUUGGUCUUGAGUGUGACCUGGAUCUCUUCAAUAUUGUUGUUAUUCCAGAUUUUAACAUAGUGAUGGAAAACUGCAGACUUCAAGGUCAAAUUCCAGUCGCUCUCUUCAGCCUUCCUCAAUUGUAGGCUCUGUAAAGUUUAGUUCAAUCUCAUUUGGCAUUACAUUUCAUAUAAUGCUUUAGAAUCCAAAGUAAGAUGUAACCUCCCUAGGCUUAACAUAAUUGAUUCUGCUUAAAUAACUUGUAUAAUGAACAUUAUAAUAAAAAGCCAAUUUGUUUUUGGCAUAUGGUGGCAAUGUAUUGAGCUACAACCAGCUUAAUGGCAUUUUCGAUGUUAGAGGACUCUGAAAUCAUGGGACUAGAGGCCUAGGCUUAACAUAGCUAAUUACUUCUACACUUAUUUUAAAAUGGCCUCUGAAGCUAGAGGCCUCUAAAAUCAUGGGACUAGACUGCUCUAGAUUAAACAAAAUAGGCCAUUAAAAUAAGGAAGAGCUCUGAGAUUAGGUUCAACAGGGUUUGCCAGUGUGCCAACAUCUGUAGAGAAGUGUGAAUAAUUUACCUUCUUGAAGAUAAGUAUGCUUGUCAGUCUUUUCUAUAAAAAAAUUGAAAAUGUGUAUUAAAUUUGUGAAUUUGCUCAGAGCCAUAAAGGAUUGGGAACCACUUGCCAACUUUCCUUUGCUUGUUGAAAUGAGUUGGUAUGAAAUGCAGUGUUUAGUGAGUGUAUUGGUGCUUAUAGGGAUGGCAAUUUGUGAAUUUGUUUAGAAAGUGAUAUAUUGACAUUUAACCACUUUAACAGCUGACUUAAGAACAAUCAUAGUGCAUUUGUUAACACCAAAAUUAGGAUUUGUUUAGAAAGUGAUAUAUAUGUAUAUAUUUUUGGGAUAAUUUUGUGGUCGGAUCAAUUUAUGCGCACCUCGAUUAAUUCUGAGGACCUAUGGGGACAGAUGGGUAGGACCUGUGGGGAUAGAUGGGAUGUAAUUAGCACACAUAGGUUGGGAGUUGGCAUGAAAAACGCCAUAAACUUAGUCGAAAAAGGCCUUUUGGGGCCGAAAAUUCAUAACAGCCCCCGAACCACUCUAUGCAUGGCACAGGUAGCUUCCUCGUGUGAAAUAGGACUUGUGGGGAUAAGACGAGAUGUAAUUAACACAUGUAGGUCAGGAAUUGGCGUGAAAAACGCCAUAAACUUAGUCGAAAAAGGCAUUUUGGGGCCGAAAAUUCAUGAUAGCCCCCGAACCACUCUAUGGAUGCCACGGGUAGCUUCCUUGUGUCAAAUAGAACCUAUGGGGACAGACGGAAUGUAAUUAGUACGUGCAGGUUGGGAGUUGGCAUCAAAAACGCCAUAAACUUAGCCGAAAAAGGCCUUUUGGAGCCGAAAAUUUAAAGCAGCCCCCGAACCACUCUACGGAUGCCACGGGUAGCUUCCUCGUGUCAAAUAGGACCUGUGGGGAUAGACGGGAUGUAAUUAGCACGCGUAAGUUGGGAGUUGGCGUAAAAAACGCCAUAAACUUAGUCGAAAAAGGCCUUUCGAGGCUGACUAUGUUGCACAACAUUACAUUGAUUGUAAUUUUUUUAGGGCUACAUGUUUUCUCAUCACUGCUCAAUAUGCUGCACAACCUUAAAUUGAUUGUCGUUUUUGAGGGGCUACAUUUUUUCUCAUAACUGUUGAAUAUAUAUGCUGCACAACCUUACAUUGAUUGUCAUUUUUUGGAUGCCAAUGGAUUUUUAAUCCUGUGCAUUUUGCGUUGUUUUGGUUCCUAACAUUUCAAUAAUGUUAAUUUCAUUUUCAAAAUAUUAUGAUUGAGGGAUGAAACCACCUCAGCCAAAAAUUCAAAAUGAAAAACGAAAAAAUCCCUUUACAGAUCUAUUAACUUUUUUUUUUUGCGUGGUCUUAUGUGGAAAUGCUAUAUAGAACUAAUGGAUGU